ensembl:lncRNA
CUAUGACAAGCAAAUAUCUAUAAUUUUGUGGACUUCCCUGGUGGCUCAGCUGGUAAAGAAUCUGCCUGCAAUGAGGGAGACCUGGGUUCAAUCCCUGGUUUGGGGAGAUCAUUGUUUCUUCAUCAUGAAUUUUUUAAAGAUGAAAAGGCUGUUGUCAAGAUUAAAUGAUAACAAGAGAAAAUGCCUCUUUCACUGUUGCCCAUAUAGAAGCUACCUGGGAAAGGGCUGACCACAUUUGAUUGGAAAUGUCAUACAAGCAGACGGUGAGGUAACAGAAGCCAGGUUGAUUGUGCUGCCUUGGGAUUUCUACCUAAUGAUCUUCUGGAAAGCAGGUGCAUUGGCAAGGAUUUUAAGCUUCUGAAAAUUCAACUAGUAUUACAGAGUAAACCUUUGCUGCCAUGGGGGUUUUACAGGAGCCGGGUGCAUUAAUGUGAGAUCAUUACAAAGCAUUUUGGUGACUACUACAGAAUUAAUGGCACUUUUAUGACUUGUGGUUAAUGAAUGUCAAGAAAUAAGAGUUUAUAUCUGUUCAAAUUGUAAUUUUAAAUCAAACUUGCAAGCUGUCAGAUGCAUCCACCACAUGAGGACUCCUUCUUGGUAAUAUUUGGUGUUUCUCUACAUCCAUCACAAUUUUAGAUCGUUGCUUGGAACCUCAGCUACAGUUCUACAUAGGCUUGAUGUAAGUUUUACCAUGACAAAAGCAAAGCAAGUUGUCGCUUCCAAGAGGGCAAUUUCCGUGUCGUCCCUGUGGAAACUUAAGUUUACUUCAGCACUGAAGUAGGUAAAAUUAUUCCUAUUUGUGGAGCAUCUCCUGAUUUUGUUAAGUAGCAUUCUUUAAGUUACUGAUUGGCCGUGUGGCCUAAUGGAUAAGGCGUCUGAUUCUGGAUCAGAAGAUUGAAGGUUCAAGUCCAUUCAUGGUCGUUUGUUAAGCUCAAGUAAUGCAGGGGCAUCUGCUGUGAGCCCAUUCAACUCUCUGUCCUUCCCACACUUCUAAAUCAUCCAGUCUUUACUCAUCUCUGUCUUCUGCCUGAGGAAAAAAAUCUCCCUCCAAUCAAUACCAAUUGAUUUUACCAUGCCUCUCAUCCUAUUUACUCUGACUUCCUUUACUUUCCUGUUCCAUCUCUCUGCAGCAUCUUCAGUCUCUUCUUUCUUCCAUGCAUUCCUCUUUUAAAACGAGCAGACGAACAAAUCCUUUCUUGAUCCUGUCAUCUCCUACAGUGUCAUUUCAGCUUCCUCUUCUCUCUAUUACACACUUCUUGAAAGAAUAGUCUUCAUCCACUGUCAACACUUGGUCACUUGCCCCAUCCCUCAUUCAACUCUCUGUAGACCUCACUGUCUUCCCCUACACAGCCUCUCAAGAAUGGCUGGUACAUUCCAACCUACCACCCUCCACACCACACCACUACCUGGAAUCCUCAGCCAUACUUGACCCUGCUAACGAGCCCCUCAUUUUUGAAACUGGGUGGAUUCUUGACUUUCUUGACUCUUUCUUCUCUAUAGGUUCAGUUCUGAAGUCUAUUUUUCUGUAUCUUUUUCUGUGAUAUUUUCCCAAUUCACUAUUGUCAAAUAUAUCUUAGUGACCUUCACAUCCUUAUAAUUAUAUUUGCCCUUUCUAACUAAAAUUUAAACUCCAUAGAGGACAUCUUAUUUGAAGAAGUAUCUCGAUACAGUCAUACCCAAUUCCAAUCUAUUUCCACAGUAACUCUUCUUCCUGGCACCCUUAUCUCUAUUAAUGACACAGCUUUGAAAUCAGACAGCCGGUCUUACAAAUGUUCUAAUUGUUGAUUCCUUCCUAUCCCUUGGGGGCUUCCAUGGUGACUCAGACAGUAAAGAAUCUGCUUGCAAUGCAGGAGACCCAGGUUCAAUCCCUGAGUUGGGAAGAUCCCCCGGAGAAGGGAAUGGCUACCCACUCCAGU